UACGGAGGGUGCAAGCGUUAAUCGGAAUCACUGGGCGUAAAGCGCACGUAGGCGGCUUUGUAAGUCAGCGGUGCAAGCCCUUCGCUCAACGAAGGAAUUGCCGUUGAUACUGCUUAGCUUGAGUUUGUGAGAGGAUAGUGGAAUUCCCGGUGUAGGAGUGAAAUCCGUAGAGAUCGGGAGGAACACCAGUGGCGAAGGCGACUAUCUGGCACAAUACUGACGCUGAGGUGCGAAAGCGUGGGGAUCAAACAGG
rnacentral:rRNA from 1 species